UAUUAGAGGAGUANAGUCGUAACACGUUUCCGUAGGUGAACCUGCGGAAGGAUCAUUAAUGAAUUUUGAAAGGGACUGAUGCUGACUCCUUUGGAGUAUGUGCUCGGUUCCACUCAAAUCCAUAUUACACCUGUGCACCUUCGAAGUUUGUAGUCCUCCGUCAUGGGAGUCGUGGUCUUGUAAUGAGAUCACUGGGACUAUGACUUUGCCCAUACUUUACAAACCAAUUAUAAUGUUCUGUAGAAAGUCAAAGUCUAAGGACUUUAAAAUGUUAAUACAACUUUCAACAACGGAUCUCUUGGCUCUCGCAUCGAUGAAGAACGCAGCGAAAUGCGAUAAGUAAUGUGAAUUGCAGAAUUCAGUGAAUCAUCGAAUCUUUGAACGCACCUUGCACUCCUUGGUAUUCCGAGGAGUAUGCCUGUUUGAGUGUCAUAUAAUCAUCAAUCUCACUACCUUUGUUGGCUUUGGAUUGGUUUUGGGGACUGUUGACUCUCUCAGAGUCUGACUUCCCUUGAAUGCAUUAGUUGGACCUUUGUUUCGGCGCAUAUAUGCAGUGUGAUAAUAUCUUCACUGUGUCAGUCCAGAUGAAGUCUGACUUCUAAUCGUCUUCGGACAAUAUUAUUGACCAAUUGGCCUCAAAUCAGGUAGGACUACCCGCUGAACUUAAGCAUAUCAAUAAGCGGAGGAAAAGAAACUAACAAGGAUUCCCCUAGUAACUGCGAGUGAAGCGGGAAAAGCUCAAAUUUAAAAUCUGACAGUUUCACUGUCCGAGUUGUAAUCUGGAGAAGCAUUUUCCGUGUUGGACCGUGUACAAGUCUCUUGGAAUAGAGCGUCAUAGAGGGUGAGAAUCCCGUCCAUGACACGGACUACCAAUACUUUGUGAUAUGCUCUCGAAGAGUCGAGUUGUUUGGGAAUGCAGCUCAAAAUGGGUGGUAAGUUCCAUCUAAAGCUAAAUAUUGGCGAGAGACCGAUAGCGAACAAGUACCGUGAGGGAAAGAUGAAAAGCACUUUGAAAAGAGAGUUAAACAGUACGUGAAAUUGUUGAAAGGGAAACGCUUGAAGUCAGUCGCAUUGAUUAGAACUCAGCCUUGCUAUUACUGCUUGGUGUACUUUCUAUUUGAUGGGUCAACAUCAAUUUUGGUCGGUGGACAAAGGUUGGAGGAAUGUGAUAUCCUUUUGGAUGUGUUAUAGCCUUCUUCCGUAUACACUGGCUGAGAUUGAGGUCUGCAGCACGCCUUUAUGGCCGGGGUUCGCCCACGUUACGUGCUUAGGAUGUUGGCAUAAUGGCUUAAGCGACCCGUCUUGAAACACGGACCAAGGAGUCUAACAUGCUUGCGAGUAUUAGAGUGGAAAACUCUUAUGCGUAAUGAAAGUGAAAGUUGGGACUCUUCAUCGAGGCACCGACGCCCGGCUCUGAAGUUUACUGACGAUGCCGCGGUAGAGCACGUAUGUUGGGACCCGAAAGAUGGUGAACUAUGCCUGAAUAGGGUGAAGCCAGGGGAAACUCUGGUGGAGGCUCGUAGCGAUUCUGACGUGCAAAUCGAUCGUCAAAUUUGGGUAUAGGGGCGAAAGACUAAUCGAACCAUCUAGUAGCUGGUGGCUGCCGAAGUUUCCCUCAGGAUAGCAGAAACUCAUAUCAGAUUUAUGUGGUAAAACGAAUGAUUCGAGGCCUUGGGGUUUAAAUGACCUUAACCUAAUCUCUAACUUGAAAUAUGUACGAACUAGUCCGUCUCUUAGUUUGGACCGUUUGGCGAUUGGGAGUAUCUAGAGGGCCAUUUAUGGUAAGCAGAACUGGCGAUGCAGGAUGAACCGAACGCGAGGUUAAGGUGUCCGGAAUACACGCUCAUCUGACGCCAUCAAAANGUGUUCAGAUGCAUCUAGUACAGUCACGGUACAGGGUGGCCCAUUGGGNAAGCUUCUGGAAAUUCCCGCCUAUACGG
rnacentral:rRNA from 1 species